GGCAUCUCGUGCUAGUGGUCUAGGAUUAUUACAUAAUGAAACCAGAGUUACAGAAUAGAGACUAUACAGAAGCCCGACUUCUUGGUUUUUCCAAUGAUUUUGGCGUAACCGUAAUUGGUCAUCAAAAUCCUGAGGCCAUAGACCUAGCCAGUGCGAUUACGAGAGGCAUUUACCCCCCUGAUAAUAUUCAAAAUGACGGAUGUCCAGGGGGAAUGCCUCUCAUAAGCGCACUGGCUAGGACCAUGGCGUCAGCAUUUUGAUAACGAAUCAUGGCGUGGCAGCGGUUACGCUUUUCUGGCUGCGUCAACCUUCUGUGUGUCUUUAUUCUGUGCCUCUAGUAAGGGGCAUCUCUUUAUUCAGUAUUAGACCAGAGUACCUGGAGAAAACCUAUGGUGUUCGGUAGAGUCAAACUGUAAGCAAUCUUCUCAUAUGCAACUGAGGUGAAAUUAUAAUCCGACAACUGCUUAAUGCAGGAAUCAAACCUUAGUCACAGAGUUAAAGAUAUUCAGAUAUACAACUUUUCUAUGAAAUGUGAAAACUUGUAUUGUGCAAAUCUGAGAGUUAGCUUGUAAGGGGCGGACCAUUGGAAAAGUGAUGGGGGGGGGACUAUUUCAACUUGUACGAAUAUUUUUUUACAAUUUUUUGCUUGUGUCGAUAAUUUUCUUAAAUAUAAUCCCUUGCACGAUUAUUUUUUAAAUAUAAUCCCGUACAUUUUUUUUUAUUUCAACUUAUAAUUUUCCCUUUUGAAAAGUCUCUGCACGAUUUUUUUUAAUUCAACUUAUAAUUUUCCCUAUUGAAAAGUCUCUGCACGAAUUUUUUUUCAAACUUUUUUGGUGCACGAAUUUUCUUUUUGUUUCCCCUGCGCGAUUUUUAUUUUUGCUUUUGCCUACACACUUUUCUAAUGGUCCGCCCCUAAACUCGUUAUUCUUGUAAAGUCGUUAUUCUCUGAAGGUGGCCCAAUGUUCUUAAUCUGUCAGCAUAAACAAUUUGAAGUGUUUGUAGAAUCUCAAAUCUCCAACUUGGUCGUUGUGGAAAAUAACGUUAUUUAGACCAAUCACUAUAAUAAGAUUAAGUUCUUAGCCGGUGUAAUUGAAAUUGCAUUCCAUUAAAUUGCCCCACACAAUUGUGAUAUUACUGGCUAAAUUGCAGAAUACCCGUCCACUUUUGAAGGUAUCACUUGUUAUCAUGCUUACAUCACUACAGUUUAGAUAAAAAACAGUUUAGAUAAAAAAACAGUUUAGAUAAAAACAUUUGCUUGCCAACCUGAGAAUGUUUAAUAACUUACUAAACUUUGUGCAUGGUUAAAAAAAAUUGUAAAUAAUUUGUGAUAAUCUAUAAUCCCCAGCAUUAGGAAACACUUGACUCGUGAACUGAAGACUGGCGGCAUGUGAAAGAAUAAGAAGACUCUCACGUCGCAUUGUCUUUCAGAAAUCAGAACCUGAUAACAUCUUAUCUGCCGAAUUUUCUCCAAGUAUAUAUAUAUAUAUACCUCGAAAACCUUCCCACCACCCAGACAAUACAGCUUCGUGCAAUUAUAUACAGAAGAUUAAAAGAAUAAACAGCCCAAAGGCAACUAGAAACUUUCAGUUAUACUGUUUGCAAGGUAUGAUUUCUAUUCCAAUGUGUAGCGAAUAUAUA
rnacentral:lncRNA from 1 species